AACCACAUCAUGCUGAAACACUGGUUCCCAUAUGAUCACCAGAGUUAAGCAAUGUCAAGCCUAGUUAGUACCUAGAUAGGUGACCACUUGGAAAUAUCAGGUGCUGUAAG